rnacentral:rRNA from 1 species
UAACCCGCACCACUUAUCGUGGUGGGAGACAGUGUCAGGCGGGCAGUUUGACUGGGGCGGUCGCCUCCUAAAAGGUAACGGAGGCGCUCCAAGGUUCCCUCAGAAUGGUUGGAAAUCAUUCAUAGAGUGUAAAGGCAUAAGGGAGCUUGACUGCGAGACCUACAAGUCGAGCAGGGUCGAAAGACGGACUUAGUGAUCCGGUGGUUCCGCAUGGAAG